CAGCACCGACACUACAGGUUCCGACGAUGAAUAUGAACCACCAAAACCACCCACGCCACCCCAGCCACGGAAAAAAACAGGUGCCAACUUCUCUAAGUCACCUCUGCAUCACUCUGCCCUGUACGAAACAGUCACGUCCCAAGCCACAUCCCAAGCACAUGCCC